rnacentral:rRNA from 1 species
UACGGGAGGCAGCAGUGGGGAAUAUUGCACAAUGGGCGCAAGCCUGAUGCAGGGACGCCGCGUGGGGGAUGACGGCCUUCGGGUUGUAAACCUCUUUCAGCAGGGACGAAGCGCAAGUGACGGUACCUGUAGAAGAAGCACCGGCCAACUACGUGCCAGCAGCCGCGGUAAUACGUAGGGUGCGAGCGUUGUCCGGAAUUACUGGGCGUAAAGAGCUCGUAGGUGGUUUGUCGCGUUGUUCGUGAAAACUCACAGCUUAACUGUGGGCGUGCGGGCGAUACGGGCAGACUGGAGUACUGCAGGGGAGACUGGAAUUCCUGGUGUAGCGGUGGAAUGCGCAGAUAUCAGGAGGAACACCGGUGGCGAAGGCGGGUCUCUGGGCAGUAACUGACGCUGAGGAGCGAAAGCGUGGGGAGCGAACAGGAUUAGAUACCCUGGUAGUCCACGCCGUAAACGGUGGGUACUAGGUGUGGGUUUCCUUCCAUGGGAUCCGUGCCGUAGCUAACGCAUUAAGU